rnacentral:rRNA from 1 species
GACUACAAGGGUAUCUAAUCCUGUUUGCUACCCACGCUCUCGUCCCUGAGGGUCAGUUACAAGCCAGCAGACCGCCUUCGCCAUCGGUGUUCUUCCAGAUAUCUACGCAUUCCACCGCUACACCUGGAAUUCCGUCUGCCCUUCUUGCACUCUAGCCCGCCCGUACCCGCCGCAGGUCCAAGGUUGAGCCUUGGAAUUUCACGGCAGGCGUGGCAGGCCCCCUGCGGACCCUUUACGCCCAGUAAAUCCGAAUAACGCUCGCCACCCACGUGUUACCGCGGCUGCUGGCACGUGGUUAGCCGUGGCUUCCUUUUCCGGUACCGUCAUUGUUUUCGUCCCGGAUGACAGAGGUUUACAACCCGAAGGCCGUCAUCCCUCACGCGGCAUCGCUCCGUCAGGCUUGCGCCCAUUGCGGAAGAUUCUCGACUGCAGCCCCCCGUAGG